ensembl:lncRNA
CUUGUUAAACACACAGACCCAGGCAUCAGUGCAGCACAACAGUCUUGGAAAUUUGUGUUGUUACUAAGGGUCCCAGGGCAUUGAGGACUCACUGGCCUAAGACAUUGACUUCUGUGGCAGGAUCUGAAGGACUGGUUACAGGCCUAAUGAUCCAGUGAGGAUAGGUGUGAGUAACCUGAAGGCCUGGCUGGAGCACCUGAGACUUUCAUUCACCUAAUUCACAAGCCUCAGUGUCCAUCCAAGAAAUAGACUGAGAACUGAGAAUUCUCCACUGUGCUCCAGAAGAUCCUAAAUCACCAGAUCUAGGAGAAUGCAACAAAUAGUUUGAGAAGCACUUAUAAAUUAAGAUGUAGUGUCAUCUUCAAUCCUUGCUCGAAGGCCAGCCUUAUGCAAGAAGUAUAAGGUGGUACCGAACCAAAAGAAGGAUAGGAGCUGAGACCGGAGCUCCCUUAUUCCCAGCCGUGAGUGAGUAGGCUUCCGUGCCACCCAUGAUUCUCAUGAUCAUGGCCUUUGCAAUCACCUGACCCUCACUACACAAGAAAGGAAUUGAAACGGACGUUCCGAGAGGAACUGUACGGAGACAUUGGCCAGAAUAGUCAUUUACAAAAAGAUAAAUCUCGGAUUACAUAGUAUUGCUAUAUCAUCUUAUCUAAGUGACAAAAGCUCAGUUUGAUCUUGCACGUAUAGUCUGAUUGACCGUCCUGACUGCCUUGUGAGGCUGUACCACAGGGCACAGACUGCUUUCUAGAGACCAGUUGCACUCAAUGUCUUUGGGAAACUCAUAUUGGGACAGAAACAAAGCCACAUCUCCUACCUGGUGUCUGGGUGGACAGAGCUUCCAGAAGCAGGCAAAAGUGCAGGACUCAAAACUCCAUGUCAGUGAGGACAAAAAGCCUAUGAAGCAUAUGCUCAUUUGCACCAGAUGAUACAGCUUAUUCACAGAAGAAAACAGCAAAUUAGUAUAUUGUUGAUACUUGGAGUAUCGUAUUGUGGUACUGAGGAUUAAACCCAUAGCCUCAGCAUUGAGCUAUAUCCUCAGCCACCUCCCUUUAAUCUGAGAUAGGGUGUCACUAUCUAAACCACUAAAUUACCAGGCUGGGUUAGAAUUUGUGAUCCUUCUUCCUCAGCUUCCCAGAAGCUGGGAUUCCAGCUAUGGACCACCACACCCAACUGUACUUAGGAUGUCUUGAGACCACAACAAAUAGAUAAAGUAAAAGCUUCUUGGUUUAUAAAACCAAGUCAAUAUUCAAAAAGGACCAAAGACAAUGAAACAGGCAAAAAGAUAAAAAGUAUUUGUGCCCAAGAAUUUUCCAGAAAAUUGUGAAGGAUUUUCACAUUUUAAAAGACCAGUCAAAUUCAUCUCAGAAGAAAAUAAACAUAAAUUAGAGGAUUAUAUUUAAUUCUAAAGCAUAGUGGAGGGUAUUAGAUGGCUUUGUAAACACUGAAAACUUUACUACAGUUUAAAUCCCUCAAAUGAAUUGGAAAUAUUUUCUUUUAAUGGGAAAGAACAAUAGGUGUGGUUUGCAACAAAUAACUACACCCCUUGGAAAAAGUUUUUCAUGUGGUAGAGGAAGAAUGGAAAAGGUGUGGAGUUCACCUUGUCCUGGACCCCUGCCUUCCUUUCCCAUCUUGGAGUCGGCAGGGCCUCUCCCUUUUCUGGAGGUCUUUCUCUUGAAUUCCAGCACCAGGAAAGUCCAUUUCUUUGUGUCUGGCAGUCAUGAUAGAUUUCAUCAGCCAAUCACUGUUUCAUUGGGUUCCACUGGUGAUGUGAGAGACAGGAAAAGAGAGAGAGAAAAUAAGUACUCUUCAGCAUAGCCAGAGUUAAUCAAUCCUUACAAAAGCAAAAGAUACAGCCUUGAGAUCACAAAUAUCAUUUGGAUAUCAUUCCUAAUAGUGCAUCUCCUUUCUAGUCUUUAGCCCCCACUCUGUUACCUUGCCUUAGUUAGAAAGCAAAUUUUGUGAGAGAUAAUGGAGACGGGGGAAAGUCUAUACUUGAAAUGAAAAUUUCUUUCCCAUAUGUAUUAGUUCAUUUCCCGUUACUGUGAUGAAAUAGCUGGAUAAUGCACAAUGAAAAGAGAUUUAUGCAGCUCACAGUCUUGGAAACUGAAAAUCCAAGAUCAGACGGCCCCAUGUGAUCAGCCCUUGGUGAGGAGCUCAUGGUGCAUGGCUUCAUGGCAAGAGUAAGUGUGGGAAUGAGAGGUCACAGUGAGAUGGGAAGCAAGGGCAGAGGAGAGUCGGACGUGUGUGCUUGCAACAACCUUCUCUCAAGAACUGACUGGGUUCCCUUGAGAACUGUUUCAUGCCUUCUAUGGGUAGUUCCCUGAUAACCUGACUCUUAAAAGUCCUUCUCCACACAGGCAACCAAGCCUGCAACCCAUGAACCCUGGGGACAACUCACACCAUGUCCAAACCAUAGAACCAUGAAGUUUUGUUUGUAUGAACAACUCAAUUUAGGACUCUUAUUUUGGACCCGUAGAACUUUCAAUAAUUUAUAAUAAAUACCCUAAAGAAAAAAAAAAACUUUGCUGAAACUCAAAAUCUGCCACAGUUACCUUGUACUUGCAAAAUAAAGAGGUCACGUACAGAUGGGUUUCAAGGGCAAGUUAAAAUUUUAAGAUGUAUUUAUCUAAAUUCAUUUGAUAUCUUCCUAUGUACUAAAAGAAUAAUCAAUCCUUCUCACUUGGAAGCCACAGGGAAUCAAGGGAAGCAGGAAAAUGCUCUUGUUUUUGGCCAUGUGUAGCCAUAUAGCAAUGUUCCCUCUGUCUGUCCCUAAUCCCUCCUAUAUGCAUUGGAGGCAAUGAGAAAGACUGGAAACUAAUAUGAUUGUAUUGGUUUAUGCUACCAAAAGUGACUCCUGACUUCUGCUUUUCCCAGUGGCUAACAGAUAGAAGAGUGUUUUUCCACAAGUGUGGAGAAAACCUACAACUGAAUUAUAGUGAAGACGUAGUAAGGCUUGGGGGGCUUCAUACAGAUUGGCCUUUUUUGUUCUUCUUUUAUGAUACAUGUUAAGAUCUUAAAUUAUGGGUAUAGUUGGAACAACCAUUGAUAGAUACUAAAAAUUCUUAGAAAUCUAGUGAUCCAUUCUGUUAUUUUUAAAAAGAAGAUCUAAUGGAUGAUAUUUAAUCAAUUGGUAGAUUACCAGGAAUGACAUCUGUUAUUUCACUCACUCUGAACCUUAGGACAAAGCUCCAUAAAUGAUUGUUGUUGAAUUAAGAAACGAGAAUUUAAUAUAGAAUAAAGCCACAUUUUAAAUUAAUGGAAACUGAUGGAUUUUUUCCUAGAAAAUAAUAUUGGCUAGUCAUACUUUCAUAUGUUAUACCACAGAAAAAUAUUUUUCGGGUGGAUGAAAGAGCCAAAUGUAAAGACAAGAACUAUAGGUGAAUUAGGAGAAAAUAAAGGAAACUCUCUCUGUAAGCCCAAUAUGGGGACAGUCUUCCUAAAAACUACACAAAAUGCAAAACCUAUAAGAGGAGAGAAAAUCAAAUUGGUUGACUUUACAAGAAAAUAUUUCUACAAAAUGAAUGAAAUCAUAGAUAACAAGAAAACACACAAAACAAUAUGGUAGAACAUAUUUACAAAACACAUAACUGUGUAAGGAAAGGCAAAGCAUACCACAGAAAACAAAUGUUAAGGGAUAUGAGUAGCUAAUCCACAGAGGGAGACACAAAUGGUCAGUUAGAACUUGAAGAUAUGCAACCUCCUCAGUAGCCAGGAAAACAAAGAUUUAAAAAAAUGACUUUGUUUCCAUCUUUUUCCAUUUCUCAUAUUUUUUUACUUUCCCUUCUUUCCUUUCCCCUACCCCUCCUACUCCCCCUACCCCUGACUCUUUAGACCUUUCCUUCCUAUCUCACAUUAUCAAUUAUACAUUUUGAUCCUAAUUUACACUUUUAGUAAAGUCUUUGUAAAGUCGGAGGGGUGGGUGGUUUGAAGGGAG